GGACAGAUGGUGUAGUGGUUUGAGCACCAGACUACAACUCCAGAGACCAGGGUUUGAUUUCCUUUUUAACCA